GCGAAAGGCUCCUAGGCAGGACGGACGUGGGUGUGCUAAUGUAACCAGACGACACCGCCAGCCCCGCCAGCCCCUCCAGCCCCGUCGGCCGCGCCGGCCGCCAGCCGCCGCAGCUCGCCGACUCUGAUUCGUCGAGUGUUGCGUUAUACUGGCCGCGCAGUCGCCGUCGACAAACACAACAAAUCGAGCGCGCAUCUCUCGUCUGGACGUGAUUGAAAACUUUGUGUAUACGAGAGAGGCCCAUAAGGACUUGUGAGCUCCGGCCGAGUUGGUGCCAGCGCCUCCCCUGCACGGCUAUCGGCCGCCUGUCGGUAGUGAUUGGGGCCGGCGACUGAGAGAGCGGCUGACCAAAGUCUGGCGCCGUCCCGCGGCCGCCAGGAGAACGGGCCAGGCGCCGAAGGAGUUUCUUCGUGGAAUACAGAGAAAUGGCUCUGUAAGGACGCCCGGGAAGACGCUGGAGGGAGAAUGAAUGAGGCCUGGCACACGCGGCUGGAGCGGCGGGACCGCGUUAAAGUUGCGUUACACGUCGCCGCUCCGGCCGCUCCUCCUCUUCGUCCAGACGCCGUCCACUGACCACACGCCCCUUAUCAUGUCGCCCGCGCGGGGCGGCCAUCGGGCGGCCAUCGGGCGGCCCGGGCCCAACGGAAGCGACAAAGGAUUUAAUUUCCCGAAAUUCCUGUUGCUCGUGGGGAAGCUGCUUCUGUAUAUCCUCCAUCCCCA